rnacentral:rRNA from 1 species
GUAAAAUCUCACCAGAGUAACAAUUGGAGGGCAAGUCUGGUGCCAGCAGCCGCGGUAAUUCCAGCUUCAAUAGCGUAUAUUAAACUUGUUGCAGUUAAAAAGCUCGUAGUUGAAUUUCUGCGUCUCCUGGUUGGCCUGAAGGCCUUGCGGGUUUCGCAUAGGGGAUUCCCCGUUUUACUUUGAGAAAAUUAGAGUGUUUCAAGCAGACUUGUGUCUUGAAUACUUGAGCAUGGAAUAAUGGAGUAGGACUUUGGUUCUAUUUUGUUGGUUUGAGAGCCUUAGUAAUGGG